GUCAAGAUGGAUUCUGUCAAUGGAAGACACUAGUGAGUUGGUCGCUGGUUUAAACUUUCAGUAGCCCAAAAAGGAUGAGUUAACAUUGAUCCUGAGUACUGAUAAAUGACUGUCACAAGUUCUGCAACUAGAAGAAGUUUGCAGGAAGAGAAGAGAGGAGAGGAAGGUUUGGAACAGAAGAAACCUAGUGACAAAGAGAUCACUGUUUGGACUCUCUCUCUAAGUAGCCAGAAAUGGCAUUCAUAGUAGAUCAAACAAAUGUAAUAGAACCAAUGGAAGAGCUGCACACAAAUAAAGCCCAACAAGCAACCAAUUGCCAAAAGAAGAUAAACUGUGUAGAUAAAAAAAUGAAUAAUUAAAUACUGGGAACAAGAGUUCUGGAGCCCUUGAAAGUGAGUCCAUAGGUUAUGGAAUCACUUCAAUGUUCAGAGAUUCAAAGCAACCCCAGUUAAAUUUUGACUUCUGUUUCGACCAUUUCCUACCGAGCACUCUGCCCUCCCUGAUGAUGCUUGGAC